rnacentral:rRNA from 1 species
UNAUGGGCGCAGGCCUGAACCAGCCAGUAGCGUGAAGGAUGACUGCCCUAUGGCCAANUAAACUUCUUNUAUAAAGGAAUAAAGUCGGGUAUGUAUACCCUCUUUGCAUGUACUUUAUGAAUAAGGAUCGGCUAACUCCGUGCCAGCAGCCGCGGUAAUACGGAGGAUCCGAGCGUUAUCCGGAUUUAUUGGGUUUAAAGGGAGCGUAGAUGGAUGUUUAAGUCAGUUGUGAAAGUUUGCGGCUCAACCGUAAAAUUGCAGUUGAUACUGGAUAUCUUGAGUGCAGUUGAGGCAGGCGGAAUUCGUGGUGUAGCGGUGAAAUGCUUAGAUAUCACGAAGAACUCCGAUUGCGAAGGCAGCCUGCUAAGCUGCAACUGACAUUGAGGCUCGAAAGUGUGGGUAUCAAACAGGAUUAGAUACCCUGGUAGUCCAAGGGCGAAUUC